UGUGUCUAGCAUGGAUAUAUUCAACAAAAUCAAAAAAAUAAAAUAAUUUUGAAUGGAGCAAAAAUAGAAGCAAGUUGACUAAUAGAGUGUCAUUAGAACUAUUCACAACAUCCGCCGCUUAAUCUGCAACCCAUUUGCCUCAUUGUAAACAUGGGAUGCAUGAAAGAGUAUACCCUCAGUCAACCUCAAAAAAUGUAAUAUGAGUGGAUGUUUACUCACCGACAGAGAGCAUUUGAAAUCGAACCAACCACUACAGGAAAUCACCCUC
rnacentral:lncRNA from 1 species